AAGGAUAGACUCACAGGCUUCCAGGUCCCCAAGCCCCAAUGAAGACAUGGCCCAGGAACCAGCGAAGGCCGAGUUCAAUGAAGCAAGUGCAUUCUUGCAAUAAAGGGGCGAGCUGCCGGCCGGGAUUU
rnacentral:sRNA from 1 species